UACGUAGGGUGCAAGCGUUGUCCGGAAUUAUUGGGCGUAAAGAGCUCGUAGGCGGUCUGUCGCGUCUGCUGUGAAAACUCGGGGCUUAACCCCGGGCCUGCAGUGGAUACGGGCAGGCUGGAGGCAGGCAGGGGAGAACGGAAUUCCCGGUGUAGCGGUGAAAUGCGCAGAUAUCGGGAGGAACACCGGUGGCGAAGGCGGUUCUCUGGGCCUGUACUGACGCUGAGGAGCGAAAGCGUGGGGAGCGAACAGG
rnacentral:rRNA from 1 species